rnacentral:siRNA from 1 species
GUUUUAUAUCAGAUCCUUGAACA